rnacentral:tRNA from 1 species
GCUUCAGUAGUGUAGUGGGUCAGCACGGCAGACCGGAUAUCUGUAAGUGCGGGUUCGAGUCCUGCAUGAGGUU